AUGGCCCUGUUUGCUUCCUCAGUCCUGCUGCUGAUCAUGCCUACAUGUGUCCUGUCCCAGGUUACCCUGAAGGAGUCUGGCCCUGGGCUGUUGAGGCCCUCCCAGGACCUCAGUCUGACCUGCUCUUUCUCUGGGUUUUCACUGAGCACUUCUGGUAUGGGUGUGGGCUGGAUCCGCCAGCUCUCAGGGAAGGGUCUGGAAUGGAUAGCAAACAUUUGGUGGGAUGAUGAUAAGUAUUACAACCCAUCCCUGAAGAGCCGGAUCACGAUCUCCAAGGACACCUCUAACAACCAGGUUUUCCUCAAGAUCGCCAGUGUAAACACUGCAGAUACUGCCACAUACUACUGUGCUCGGAGAGCACAGAGAUACAGCCUGGGCUGA